rnacentral:lncRNA from 1 species
AUGAAGAGAAGAUAGUGGUAUUGUUUGAAUUAAUGGAAAAGAUUAUGUGAUUUAAGAUGGUGCUUGGAUUAGGAAGAGGAUUUGAGGGCUGAGGAAAUGAAUUUGAAGGGAUAAAAAAAGAUUGAGACGUUGUUUGUAUUAAUGGAAAAGAUGGUGUGAUUUAAAGGGAUUUGAGAUAAAAAUUUAUGAAAUGUGAUAAAAGUAACCGAUUAAAAAAGUAAUUU